AUGCACGAAGUCUGACGGAGCACGCCGCGUGAGUGAUGAAGGCUUUCGGGUCGUAAAACUCUGUUGUUAGGGAAGAACAAGUGCUAGUUGAAUAAGCUGGCACCUUGACGGUACCUAACCAGAAAGCCACGGCUAACUACGUGCCAGCAGCCGCGGUAAUACGUAGGUGGCAAGCGUUAUCCGGAAUUAUUGGGCGUAAAGCGCGCGCAGGUGGUUUCUUAAGUCUGAUGUGAAAGCCCACGGCUCAACCGUGGAGGGUCAUUGGAAACUGGGAGACUUGAGUGCAGAAGAGGAAAGUGGAAUUCCAUGUGUAGCGGUGAAAUGCGUAGAGAUAUGGAGGAACACCAGUGGCGAAGGCGACUUUCUGGUCUGUAACUGACACUGAGGCGCGAAAGCGUGGGGAGCAAACAGGAUUAGAUACCCUGGUAGGCCACGCCUUUUUU
rnacentral:rRNA from 1 species